AUAGAGAAACAAAGUGAGUUUUAGGGGUGGCGUUCUCAGGGAGAGCAGAAUGAGAUUCUGUUUGACUCUGAAGCUUAUCUUAUUAACCCCUCUCUUCCAGGAAUUUUAACAGCUCACAUCUCUCGAAUACUCACACGCCAGUCACUCUUGAGGUGCUUCGUGAGAACUUCCACAGCAUCUCUGUAUGGGGGAAGAAGCAGAAGGAGAGAGAGAGAGAGACUCUCAAGCAAACUCCAUGCAGAGCUGAGAUCAUGGCCUGAGCCAAAAUCCAGAGUCUGAUACUUAACUGACUGAGCCACCCAGGCUGCCACCCCAAGAUAAGUACGGCCAUGUGACUAACUGAGGACGUAUGUAGGGUUUUGGGAACAUCUCCUUAAAAGGUAACAGACACAUGCUUCUUUCCUCCUAUCCUUCCUGUGGCUGCCUGGAAUAUGGAUGUAAUGG
rnacentral:lncRNA from 1 species